UCCCCAGGUGAUGUCACAGCAAGAGAGAGGGAAAAAAGGCACACGUGACACACUGGCAUUUGCGGUUCUUACUAUAUGCUAAUGACUCGAAGACAGUAUGUUAGUAUGAUUUAAAUACCAAGAAAUUGCAGGCUGCUCGCUCAGCAAAGAAUUUCCUCUAUUUAGUAAAAUUUUAGAAUGAAAGUAUUAUGUCAAGAGUUGGAAACUCUCUUCUAAGAACUAAAAUAGUACUGAUAAGUUUGAAUACAGAGGUAAAAUGGACUACAUAUUUGCAAUAAUAGACUCUACUGCAAGAUUUGUGACAUCUAUCUAUCUAUCUAUCUAUCUAUCUAUCUAUCUAUCUAUCUAUCUACAUACACACACACACACAGGUCUCAUUCUGUAGUCUAGGUUCGCCUUGAACUCCUGGGUAACCUCCUGCGUCAAUCUCCUUCUGUUGUGGAAUUAAUGGUGUGAACCACUAUGCUUGGCUUUGCAAGUAUAUAUUAUCAACACUUUUUCUACACAAAGGGUGAAGCCUGUGAGAAAAGUGUGUUCCUAGUGCCAAAUCUACAAAGGAAUUAAAAUAAAAGAAGAAACAUAAUACACAAAAGUAUUUUCCCUUCAAGUUUUUCAAAAACUGUUCAUCUGUCUCUUCUCCCUACUGUGUCUAGUUAGUGUGCCCGCAUGUGCAUGACGUCAUUCGCUAGAGUGUGGGAACCCACCCGUGGUUAAAUGUCUAGAGAAAAGUGAUCUUGUCCAGCAGCCACCAAUUGUAAAUAGCUCCUCAGUUAGAGGACUUUGAGAGAGCCCUUCCCCCUCCAUGCUAAAUUUUCUUAAGUUAAAACCUUUUUGUGUGUAAAAAUCUGUGUUGUGUUUGCACUUAGGAAAGUGUUUGGGACAAAGCCGGUACGCAAGGUGUUUGUCAAAUAAAAUGAGGAUUUUUUUUGGAGGCUGCUGGGUAAACUUUAUAUCCAUUAAACCAAAGGAAAAUACACCUUUUCACUAUUCUGGUUUUGUCCUAUAGUAUAAUUCUUAGAGACAAUUACUAAUUUUUCCCAUACUGACUUUAUUUUUACUUGACUCCAGGUAAGUAAAAAUAUAAUGAUCAAAACCCCGUUUUGAAAUAGCUAGGAAGGGCUGGUGAUGUAGCUCAGUGGUAGAGGACUUGCCUAGAAUAUCGUCCUGGACUUGAUCUUCAGCAUGACAUAAAAACAGAAAUAAAUUAGUGGGAGCUGAAGCCACACUGCUCUGGCAGAGGAUUAAGUCCUGUUUCCAGCACCCACAUCAGGCCCUUCACAACUGACAGUGCUGGUUGCCUCCAAACUAGUGGCAAUCCUCCUGCCUUAUUGCUGCAGUUACUGGGGUUAUAGGUAGACAACCGUCACACUUGGCAGCUGCCGGCUUUUACUCAUUCACAUAUGCUCUGCCAAUGUCAACCCAGCUUUCCUUCUGCCGAGUGCUCACCAGUGUGACCGGAUUUAACCUCAGCUCAUGGGAGUAAACCCGUGUGAAUACGACAGCAUGGUGUCCAAACCUCACUUUGAGGCCUGUGUUGUGGUGAAAGUGUAAACACACACAGAAAGACAAAGUUGCCCGCCUUCUGGGACUCUCUGAAAGAAGAUACCGACCAUCAGACUGAGUAUUUUUAACCAGCGGUCUUGUAAGCCUACACCUGGUGCAGAUAAAGGGCCAGCUUGUUCUGCCAACUGUGGCAGAUGCUUCAGGAGGAGAGCUGCUGGAAAAACAGCGAGCACAGAAGACACAGUCAAAAAUAGAAUGCGCUCCCCUUGAACUAUGAACUCUCUUCAAAGGAAGCUGUAGAGUCUUAACAUCUGGAAUCCUGAUCUCUGAACUAGAAAACACUGCAAACUGGAAAACAAUUCCUCUGCGCACUCUCAGUAGGAGCUUCAGGUUUCUAAGCGUGGUAACGCAAGGCUGUGUAGAACAAGGCUGAAGAACGAAGCAAGAGAUGGAAAUAAACAUCCACAGACUGGAAAGUGAAACACUCUCGAUACAGGCAGUAAACAAAACUGAAACUGAGCAGCUGAAGGUGUAGGAGGAAACAGAAAAAAAAAUCAGACUGUCUAUUUCAGCAAUUUAUGCCAAUUUUCUUAGACAGGCAAACAACAGUCAGGAUUUUACGGAUAAUUGUGAAGUGUGUAAGCUCAGAACUAGUCCUCCAGCCUACCGCCCAUGUCGGUUCUCACACCCAAUGGUGUUUCAAGAGAAUAAACCAAGGUACGGAGAAAUUAUGCUGCGGACCCUGAACAGACUCUGACUUCUUCCCGCCGUAUACUUUCUCCGGGAACAGCAGCACAGGUCGUGACAGCAUCCUGUAAAACUGAGCAUGCUGCUCGUGUAACAGUCUGGAGCACAGUCGGAUUUUUAAGAAGAAGCUACGUGAAACUUGGAAAACUCAAUUAUUUAAAUCUGAUGCAGGGCCAGGCCUGGGGGCCCCUCCCUGCAGGAAGCACUAGGAGGUUAGAGGCCAGCACGGGCUAUAUUAAAGACCCCGUCUUCAAAGAAACCGGACAUAGCCACAGCAUUCUGGAUUUCACUGCAAUACUUAAAAGGCAUUCUAUGCUUCCUGCUAAGUGCACCAUGUCCUGGUAUCUCAAGAUCCGCGUCUUUCAAACUAUAGUCUCCAUCUUCUUGCAGCGGAAUCUCUGUGCUGGAAACAGAACAAGGUGAAAACGUUUCUCUGUCUUGGACUUUCCACCAUACAGUUUGUACUCUGCUGAAAAGGAACACUACUGUACUGACUGCUACUUUGUAUAGGGCAUAUUAGCAAAAAUGGGAAGGUAAGCUUUUCCUAUUGGUGCAUUGUUGAGACAUUUGUACACUGUGAAGAGGCAUUGCUGUGGUUGGUAUAAUAAAAAGCUGCAUGGCCAAUAGCUAGGCAGGAGAGACAGGCAGAACAUCCGGGCAGAGAGAAGAAGAAAACACAGGCACACAGGACAAUGGAUAUGAAGAACGAGCUGGAAACACAGAAUGGGAGAGAGGUAAAAACCAUAUGGUAGAAUGUAGAUUAAUAAAAAUAUAGGCUAAUUAAAGUUAUAAGAGCCAAGCUUACAUAAUUAAUAAUAAGUCUCCGAGUCGUUAUUUGUGGGCUGGUGGUCCUCACGAGAAACACACUGCAGCACGUCCUAUCUGAUACACCUAAACGGAGAAUACACAGAAAGACAACUCGCCACACAGCAAGGUUUUCACGGCUCACAAUGUCAACAGCACAUGGCAAGCACGGCUAACUGGUUAUGGACACUGCUCAGUGGAAAAACACAUGCUUUAGUUAGCAUGUAGGCGGCCUUGGGAAGACUCCUCACACAAAGACAAUUCAAGCCUGCAAUGGGAGGCCGAGACUCACAAGAAAAAAAAUUAAAAAUUCAAAAAGCACAAGAAGAUAAAACAUGAUUAAUUGCACUUUUAGAUUCUAAAGUCUUAAACACACUAAUUAUGAACUAAAUUGAAUGCUGUAAUAGCCGAUACAAGCAAAUCAAGUAUCACUAAGUGAUCAGAGAUGAAGGACAGGAUCACAGGUGAUUUUCUUUCAUUAUUUUCUGUAGUGACUAUGUCGCUAACUACCUGGAAACAUCAAUUUCAGGCAGCCAGACUCAGCUUUAGCUAAAGACAGCUGUGCUACUAAUUAGAGCUAGAUGUUUUACUAGCUAGGCGGAUAAUGCAGCUGUACUUGGUCCUGAGUGCAGGCUAUGAAUGCAAAGAGAUUUAGCAUCUCCUUCUAGAGUUCUCCAGUUCCAGUGCACCAUAGGCUCCCUUGUCUUUCCAGCUUUUUUUUUUUUCACUUUCUUCCUUUGUUUUCUUUUUAAAGACAGGGUUUCACUAUGUAGCCACAGGCCUUGAAUUUACCCUCCUCCCUUAGCCUCCCAUGUGCUGGGGUUGUGGUGUGCCCUAUACCAUUCAUGACUCUAGUCUUUUCUUUUUUUCUCCCUAGCGCUAACUAAUGUCAGGAAGUUUCAGUUUUACAUUUCAGCCUGCUACAAGGCUUAGAAGUUCUCAGCUGGCUCCUACCUGCUUCUCCAAGAACUCAUCUGGUGACUCAUUUGUUCUUUUAGCAUUCUAACAGUUUGACAAGACAGACUUGGCAGAUGUACUAACAGAUCGCUGCUCCCGGGGAAGCUGCAUAUAAGAAUAUGGUGAUUUGAAGGCUGGAGCAAUGGCUCAGUGCUGAAGAGUACUGGCUGCUGGAGCAGAGGACCUGGGUUCUGUUCCCAGCGCCCACACAGCAGCUUAGAAUCAUCUAGAUCUCCAGUUUCAAAGGAUCUGAUACUCUCUUCUGAUCUCCCUAGGCAACAGGCACACACAGUGUUUUGCAGGCAAAACACUCACAUGCAUAAAAAAUACUCAUACACAUAAUCUUUAAAAAUGUGACUUUAUUAUUAUUUUGGCAUUUAUUGUUUUCUCAAAUGCACUAGUUCCUGAGAUCCUGUGUCUUUGACUCUCAAGCAACCUGAACUACAGGUGGGCAUACCACAGCUGGCUUUGACUGUGGGAUUCUUUUUCAUGCUGUCUCCAACAUAAAUCCCCAAGCAGAAGGGCAUGGAGGGCAAUAUAAAUGAGGCACUGUGGUGUGACGUGGUGGAGGAGACAGACGGGAGCACAGGGAGCUUUUCAGGCCACACUAUCUCCUUCCUUCUUGAAGAAGGAACUUACCAAACAGAUUAAGCAACCUCUCAUCAACUGUAAGACAAUUUGUACCUUCUUAUUCUAGUAGAUUAAACAGGGAGAGAAGGCAGGCAGCAAGUACACAAAAUGACAGAGAGACAAUGAAGUCUGUCAUAACUGUCGUCACAGCUCAGUGGUUAAAGUAACUCUGAGGGCUGACACCUUCAGUCCGGGCACCCAGGAGGCAGGAGCAGGCAGAUCUCUGUGAGUACAAGGCCAGGUUACAUAGUGAAGUCCAUGAAAUCCUGACUUAAAAAAGGAGUACAUGACCUAAAGACAAUGGAUAUAUACUAAGAGAAAGCCUGAAGUACAAACACAGGGUCAGAGAGGUAGCUCAGCUCGCAGCUCUUGCCUCAUUAGCAAGCGUCUGGUUCAAUCUCCAG